rnacentral:tRNA from 1 species
GCGCCGGUGGUGUAAGGCGAACAUCGCUGCCCGGAAAAGGCAGAAGAUGCGGGUUCGAGUCCCGCCUGGCGCA